GAUCCUGGCUCAGAUUGAACGCUGGCGGCAGGCCUAACACAUGCAAGUCGAACGGUAACAGGGAUCAGCUUGCUGAUUCGCUGACGAGUGGCGGACGGGUGAGUAAUGUCUGGGAAACUGCCUGAUGGAGGGGGAUAACUACUGGAAACGGUAGCUAAUACCGCAUAACGUCGCAAGACCAAAGAGGGGGACCUUCGGGCCUCUUGCCAUCGGAUGUGCCCAGAUGGGAUUAGCUAG
rnacentral:rRNA from 1 species